UAUAAACCUAAAUCCUCCGUUCACCCCACUCCAGGUUUAUAAUGAAAACAAUCAUUAUUUCGGUGUUUGUGUAUUAAUUCCUUGUGUCGCGGAGCUAGAGAUAUUUGAACUAGAUAUUGAAGAUUGUUUGUCCUCAAAACUAUCAAAAUGUGAAUCAAAUGAGCUACAGCUGCAGGUUUCGGAAUAUUCAUCGCUUUCAUCACUUAAUAUUGGACGGCUCCCGAGCCUGAACCAAGGUAAAAUUGCCUUAUUAAUCAUUGUUUGUAAACUUUUUACAUUAUCAAAUUCCCCAGAAACAGAUUGAUCCAGUACCACAUCUUCACACUUUUCAAAAUUGUUAGGUUGAUAUAUCAUCAAAAUCAACGGAAUUAUAUAUUUUCUUAUUAUGAUUUGGAAUGCAGAAAUAGGAUCAUUUCCGCAGGAAGAUGCUUCUCCGCAAUAAAGCAAUAUUUCUUUAAAUUCCCAAUAGUCCAAACCUUUCGGAUUAGUAAUGACUGCAGAGUAGCAUCUUUCUAAUUGAAUUGGAGUAAUAUAUUCCUCAAAAUUCCCUCCUAGUAAACCAGAAUCAUUCAUUAAAUUGUAAAAUUGACGAUAAGAAAGUCUGUCACUAUUGGGCCCAGAGUAAUAAACAAAGAUCCUAUAUAAUUUCUUAUCAUCCUCUUGAUUAAUGCUUGUAAGCGCUACUAAAAUUUCUGAUUCUGGGUCUGAAAUUUUUUGAAUUUUUUUUUUUUGAAGGUUUUUCUUCUCGCUUUUUUUUAAAUCUUGUUGAUUUAGCUCUUCCAGCUCGGGUUUUACAACAAUCUCCUGAAGUCUUAGCUGAUCUUGUAUAUUAUAAACAUUUAAAUAAUCAAAUACUUGAUUUUGAUGUUCUUCAUUGGAAGGAUCAUCUAAUUCUCUCUGGAUGUUAGUUAAAUUUAACUCUUGUUCUAUGUCACAAUAGCAACUAGCAUCUGCUACAGAAAAAGUUGCAUCAACUGCUACACUAUUUAAACUUUGUUCUAUUUGGAUAGAGCUAUCCCUUAAUUCAGCC
rnacentral:antisense_RNA from 1 species